rnacentral:lncRNA from 1 species
GCGCCUCCCCGAGCUGAGCCGCGCGUCCCGAGCCCAGCCUCUCCGGGGAGGAGGGACCCGGCGGCGCGGCGUGGGUCGGGAGCGGGCGCCUGGGACUACUUCUCGUUUGAAAGUUUUCAGAGGCCAAAAGUUUGAGCCGGGGCUGCGGAAGGAUCCGGCUCUGGCGGUUGCCGCGCUCGGCGACAACUGGCGACUGAAAUUUGCAUGUGAAUAAGCGGAGGAGCCCGGGGCGGAAUGGGGAGGGCGAGGCCGCGGACAGCCGUGUGCACCGUGCGCUGGGCCGGGCGGGGAGCAGCUGAGGCCACGUUGGGGGACCCCGGGCCCGGGGCAGGGCUCUGGGAGAGUGGCCUAGCCGUGUGUGCGCCCCUAGCCCAGCGGCUUCACUCCCUCCCGAGGGCCCCGUGGCCGCGGCUUUAGGCGUCCAGAGGAUCGAUCGCCGCCAGACAUCCCUGGCCGUGAUUGCCCGAGCACUUGACCGCGAGGGAUGGGGGCGCCGCGGCCUCUGGGCAGGGGACUCCGGGCGCCCCGAGGGAGCAGCCGGGACCAGUGCCUCGCGGACGGAUUGUGCCCCGCUCCCCCAAGGGGGACCCGCGUCGACACGCUCCUCGGUCACCGUCCUCCUCCUGCCCGGGCGCCGCCUGCCUAAGGUGGCCCCAGAAAGCACAAACGGGUCGGGCGGAUCUGCCGCUGGCGCCGGCGCAGCCCUUCCCACGUGCUCCUUCCGGCUGAUUUAUUUCUCCACCACGAUGCCAGGCACGGGCACCCUGUGCCAAGCCUGGUUAAGCGCCAGGAGUCCAAAAUGCCUGCCAUAGUCCCUGCGCAAAGUUCACGGCCUCGUGCCAGGGACAGACAGCGCCCCCUCCCCACCCCAACACAGGGUGGUGAGUGCGAUGGCAGAAGGCGCGUGUCCCGGCGCCCCUCCUGGAGUAGGAGGGCUAAGCCUGCCCUGCGGGGAGACCGAAAGGCUGGGAGGGACCUAGGACUGUGGGGGCCUGGGGGGAGGGCUGCAGAAACCCCAGAGCAUGGUGGCAGAGGCAGGCACAGAAAGCAGGACAAAUCUCACACCUGACCCCAGCAAGCCUUUCCUGGCACACCUCUUGCCAAAUGCUGAGCACUCUGGAAACAGCCAGUGCAGGCGGCCUGUCCCGCCCCUGUAGCUGCUGCUGGGAGCCUCCCUCGCCUGCGUCCUCCCAGAAUCUGGCCUCACUUCUGCAGGCCUGGGGUAACAUCUUGGGGUCAGCGCCCCAGGAGAGGAGGCGCCUGGAGGCAGCAGAGAUGUUUAUGUAACAGCAGCCAGGCAGCCUGGAGGAGCAGAUUUUCCAUAGAAGGAAGCGCGGGGCUGUGCAGCUCCCAGGCUGAGGACUCUGCCCACCACGACGUCCUCUGCUCCUGGUGGGUGGGGGUGGGGUGGGGCAUAGGGAGGCCCGAAGGCCUCAGGCCUGGUGCUGAUCGGGUGCGGGUGCGACUGCCUGUGUGCCUCCAUUGGCAUCUCUGCCUGUGGGCCCCAGGCCAGAAGUAAUGGCCCAUGUAGCCCAGGCCCGGGGGCCAGUCCUCAGCAUUUUGCGGAGGGGCGGCCUGGGAGGGGAGGAGGGGAUCCCUGGAUAGGGGGUCUCCCCUGGUCUGCCCCAGCUGUGCCGACAGCACCUCCACCUUGGGCCUCCAUCCUCUACCAGCAGAGAAGAGAGUGGCCCAUUCGGUGUCCACCCGUCAGGCCACCCAGCAGCCAGGCACGCUCAUAAGCCCGCGUUACGGAUGGUGCGGCCGGGUGCACAGGCCCGAGGGAAGCACAGGCCUCGGCCUCCCAGCUCCCAACCCCUGCACCACCCACAGCCGGGAGUACCCCAUGGACAGCUGUGGCCGAGGAGAAGCCAGGGAUGAGGGGGAUGGGCCUCACCUCCCCACCAGCCUGGGAAGGGGGUAGGCCCCUGGCAAGUAGGUGAGAAGCUUUUUCAUUCACAAGUUGUCCGGGCUCCCCAUUCCUCUUUGUCAGGCCAGCGGGUGUGGGCAGUCGGGGGAGGCUGGGGUCCUGACACAACAGGAGUACAUCUGCUGGCCUAGGGCCUGGAGACCUUCUCCUACAGGUCGGGAGGCAGCCCUGGGCAGCGGGCAUUGCGGGGACUAAAGAGAAACAAGAGCAGGUUGUGUGCAGGGCACCCCAGCCACUCCAGAAACCCAAUGGGAGGGUGGGGGCUAGGACCCCAAGAAGCUGAAUUGGGGUGCAGUGCCGCCAGGCCUCCCCUGUAGGAGUCACUUUGGGCUUCCUGUCCCAACUUGUGGUGGGAGCUGGGGCAAGGUUCCAGGGGUACCCCGAAUGAAUGGGGCUGUUCCCAAGCUGGCCAGGGAGCCUGGAAGCAGAUGAGAUGGGGCCGCAGAGCCUGGUUUGCGGAGGGGAGAGGCAGACGUGUCCUGCAGCCCUCUCUUCUUCAGAGGCCCCCUGCGGGUGCUGAGGGGAGAGUGGCUUAGGCGUUGCACCCCAGGAGACUGAACUGGGUCAGUUCCCCCUUGUUUGCUGCCAGAGAAAUGGGGGUACCAUUGUCAGGGUGAGCUAAGGAGGCCCUGCUGACAUUGGCCCAACCAGGCCCCUCCUUUGCGGCUGCUGUGGGGACUUUCGAGAGCAGAGCACACCCCUAAGUGCGUGGAGAGGUAAGCACAGCUGGUGAGCACACGGGGACAGCGACGGAGCUCAUGGAGACCCAGGUGACCUUAAAACACCCCAGGGCCGGCUCCGGCCCCAGAGAGAUGUGGUCCGAGUAGAGGGGGGUCAGCAGUGACCUGGUGGGUGGGUGUAUUUGAGGGGUGCCUGUGUUGAAAGCUCUGCAGUAGAUUCUAAGGAGCAGCCAGGGCUGAGACUCCCGGUGCUGAGCCCAAGGCCCCUUUCCUUCCUGCAGGAGUUCAUCUUGGCUCUUGCAGCCCCCAUGACCCUGUGGCGCUGGGGGGCGGCUAGCAUGAUGCUCCCCAUUUUUCAGGAGGGAAGCUGAGGCUCAGAGACAUCAUGAGGAUGCCAGCUCAAGGCCCAGCCAGGCCUUGGUCCUCAGCUGCUGUCAUCCAGUAGGGUAAGUGGGACCCCCAGGAGGUGUUGGGGGACACUCCUCCCCUCCCCCACACUCACAGUCUGUUCACCGCCCAAGGCAGCAGGCUGGACUCGGUGCAGGGACCAUGGCUUGGCGUGGCCAGGUUGGAGUGGCCCCUGGGACUGAAAGCAGGGGGCGUGGGGGCUCUGAGGCGGGGCCGAGUGCGGGGACGUCCUGUGGCGGGUACCCUGCUGGGUCCUGGGUGGGGGCCACCACCAGGCAGCUGUGGGAACAUUCCAGACCACCUAGGAGUAGGGCCCCUUCACCGUUUGAAGCUGACUGUAAAAAACAUCUGACCUGUGUGCAAAGCUCAAGCCCAGAGGCCUCCAGGGUGUCCAGCCUCCAGGGUGCCUCCUACGCAGCCUCCACGUCCCCAUCCACUGCAGCCCCUGACCAUCGGGCACACCGUGGGGCCUUCGCUGGCCGCCGGGCCUCAGGUUCUGCUGCACCAAGUGAUUUUUAAAGCCCCAUCUGCCUUUCUCCACUUAUAAAGAACUUGGGACAUUUCCUCGAGGUUGGGCAUUUUUCCAGAUGUGGUUUCAGUGUCUCGCUUGCUACCUGGUCCCCUGUGCUGGGCGGUCCGCUGUGACGCACCUGGCAGUCCUUGCUCUAGGAUGGAUUCGGGCCGGCCCUUGUUCUGAGAACAGAGAACGGCCCUUGUUCUGAGGAGGCUGGGGUCUGGAAUCUGCUUCCUGGUCCCCUGCUGUGUGCAGACAGCCACCGUCACCCAGGCCCAGGGGUGCCUGCAGGUGCUGGGCAUCUCACCCUGGCCCCCACAGGGGCUCCCCAUGCCCUGCACCCCUCGGUCUGUGCCGGGGACUUCCCUGCUCUGCUGUUGCAGGCCUCGUCCUUUGCCGAGGGGGUCUCUUUCCCACGUGUCCCUGAGACUCCUCAGCCAUCCCAGAGGCUCUCGGCCGUCUGAGCACCCCUGACCAUGAAGCCUUCCUGGCCCACUCUCUGUGUGUGAGGCAGAGCCCAUCCCUACCAUUCCGACCCACACCAGAGGCUCCGGAAGGUUUGCUGACUGACCUGUGACUGCAAGAAGCUGAAGGAAUGUGGGCGCAGACCCGGCAGGGGCUUUUCUUGGUGCAAAGUCAACUGGCUGUCCAUGCAAGCCUGCUGCUGUGGCCAGCCCUCCCGCCAGGCGCCUGGUACCCUCCCUGGACCCAGUUGCCAGGACAGUGAUCCCCAGCUGUGGCCAGGACUCUGCCCGGGGCCCUGUCUACUCAGUGUCUCCAGUGGUCCCCAUGCAGAAACUGCCCCCCUUGCUGCCCAUGAGGCAUGGGAUAGGGUCAGCAUCCGAGAGGCAGGCCCUGCUGUUCCCCUCUGCACAGAGGCUGGGGGAGUGAGUUGCCCGGGCAAGUCCCCGGGCAGGCACUGGGCCUCCUGAGCAGGUGAGCUGAGAAGGCCCCAGCUGGUGUAGGCCUCGAGAGCUGCAGGACUGGCCAUGGGGCAGACCUGGCAUUGUCAUUCUAGAGCUGGGCCUGGGGGGUGGCUGGUGCAGUGCAGAUCUCAGGUGGAGGCCACCUGCCCGUCCUUUCCACGUGGCUCAGGGCUCAGACCCACCUGCCUGUCCCUGGAAGCCCCUAGACUGCUCAGAGCACAGACCUCAGUGGGAAAGACAGUAGAUAGGCCUGGGUAUGGUCUCCCAGCCCUGAGAAGUGGGGAGCCCACUCAGACCUUUCCAGGACCCCAGGUCCCCUCAGCAGCCCACAGAGCGUGGGUGGAGCCUGGGCUGGGGUUGGGUCACUUGGGAGCCAAAGGCCCAUUUCUGCUGCUUCCAGGGAGUCCCAGGGAGACGGCAGAGGCAGUGCCUGGCUGGGGCCCUGGUUGGCGUGCCGUUUGAGGGGUGCAUGCACUGGGAAGUUGGCCAGGCCUGCCCAAAUCAGGGGGCUUCCAGGAGGAGAGACAUCAGGAGGAUGGGCACAGAGGCGGCUUAGCACCAGGGCUGGCACCUCCAGAGGGACAAUGUUGGUGUCCCAAAGCACAGUCCUUUGCCCCGGAGGAGCCACCGGCAGAGCCAGGAGCCCCUGAAGGACUUUGACCACACCCCCCACCCCACCCCGACCUGUGCCUGGUGCCCCAAGUGGAGCCUGGGCCAUCCUUGACCUCACCGCUGGGGUGAUGGAGAAGCAGCCGCCCGAGGCGAGAGUUUCUCAGGUGGCCGGGGUUUCCCCCCAUUUGCUCCAGACACAUUUAAACAAGCUGAGAACUUCCGUCCCCCCAUACUCCCCCCCGCGGACCCCCACGGACCCCCUCUGCAAAUGAACAUGGGCCUGGAAAUCGGGGUGUGGGUUACAGAGAGCACGGGGAAUUCUGCUCGUGAAGUAACACGGAGCACGAACAUAAGCAGGUACCGCACAUCUGCGAGCUAUUCGGGUCUCCGGGGGAAGGCAAAAAGCCCCAACAAGCCUUAAGUAAGACCAGGACGCUUCUAUAGUUUUGCUUUGACAGCUAAGGAAAAAAUCUGCCAAAAACCAGAGGCGCUGCUGAGUGUUGGCGUGGGAAUGCUAGUUUAGUCAGAGCCUUGCUCUGGGCCAUUUAAAUAAAAACAGACAUGUUGGUGGCAAAUGCCAGUUGAACACGCAGGAGAGCGGUGCUUCUCGGGCCCGGAGAAGGGUUUGCAGCUGCACUCUCUCUUCCCUUUUCUCUUGGCCUCCCCAGCCUUCUUAUCAUCACGAUCAGCAUUUCACUGGUAAACAUUUGGUGCAAUAAUUUUCAAAAAUCAGCAAGAAAAGUCUGAGCGUUUCAUGUGGCUGUGACUGCGUGGCCCCAGCUGGAAGCAUGGAUUCCCAGCGCCUCCCAGAGCCUGUCUCCGAGGGAUACUCUAAUCACUUGAGGGCCUUUGCACGACAUAAAUCAGACCGACUAUCUCUAGAGUGGAGAGGGGGAUAAACUCACUUGUAGCAAGUGAAGGCCAGAGGCUGCCCUGGGAUGGCAUUGCCUGUUCCCAGGGGCUUGUGGUGGUGCAGCAGACAUGGGGACCCCUGGGCCCCUUCCCCUCCUUGCUGGGGAUGCCACACAGACCCACGUUCAGGGACCUGAAUUCAGAGCCUGCCCCAGGGGUGGCGAAUGUAUCUGGGACACUGAGGACCCCCCUACCGGGUGCAUCUCAUGGCCUUUUGGUCUUUUUUUUUGAGACGGAGUCUCACUUUGUUGCCCAGGCUGGAGUGUCAUGGGGCGAUCUCCGCUCACUACCACCUCCGCCUCCCGGGUUCAAGCAAUUCUCCUGUCUCAGCCUCCGAGUAGCUGGGAUUACAGGUAUGUGCCACCACGCCAGCUAAUUUUUCUAUUUUUAAUAGAGAUAGGGUUUCACCAUGUUGGUCAGGCUGGUCUUGAACUCCUAACCUCGGGUGAUCUGCCUGCCUUGGCCUCCCGAAGUGUUGGGAUUACAGGCGUGAGCCACUGCACCUGGCCAGCCUUUUGGUCUUGAAGGGUCUCUGGGAGGGCCUCAGAGAAUGUCUUGGUUUCCUCACUCUUGGGUUCCCAUCGACUGAGGUCAGGGCUGGGAAGGGGUGAUGAGCCCAGGACUCUUCUGGCGAGAGCGAGGGUCUAUGUUGGGGGGCUCCCUUCUGCCACCUCUCCUUGGUGACAUGGGGCUGGCUGGAGAGUCCCUCCGUGCCUGGGAGUUCCUCAGUGUAGGGGGGGAAGGGGGCCACUGCAAUGAAUCUGACACCAGCCCCCUCUCUCUCCGCCCUGCUGGCAGCCCUCACUCAUAUGGGGGGCGGGUCUGUCCUCCUUUCCCCAAAGCUGGGGGUCCUGAGUGUGGUUGGGGUAACGUCUGGUCCUCCUUAGAACAGUGGGGCUUGGAAUUCAUUCAAGGGAAGAAGAGUGAAGGAACGCAGAUGCCGACUGCAUGGAGCCCCCCCGGGCUGCAGCCCCUAGAGCCUGGGCGCUCUGUGAGCCAGAAAGAGAACGGCUGGGGAGAGGGCUGUGUGAGGCCCUGUUCUUCCAAGACCGCUGCGGAGGACCGACGGGGCCCAGGGACCCUGACUGAGGUGUGCCGAGCACAGCAGCUCUGGACAGGCCGCACCGGCCUCUCUGUCUGUCAUCUGUCCACCUGUUGGUGGGCAGGAACAGACCUGAUGCUGUAAGAAGAGGCCCCCAGGACCCUGCCUCUCCCAUUGGCUGAGCCUGGACUGUGGAGCCAGCCGCCCUCACACUGGGCACAGAUGACCGACUUAGGUUUUGAGAAGAUCCAAACAGCAGCAGGACGUGCACCUGGUAGGGGUAGGAGGGCCUCCCCUGGACUCAAAAGUGUAUUCGCGGAGCCCCUUCCCUGCAGCGUAGGCUCUGGGGGGACAGUGGCCAGGACGGAGGCCCUCGUGGAAAGGGGGAGAUGUGAACAGUGAGCCUCCUGCAUGCAGGCAUCUGGGAAAGAACAUUCCAGCCAAGUGGCUCUGAGCACACCCCGACCCUGGCCACCCUGGCCCUGUGGACCAACCCUGGGGCCCAGGAUUAAUGACAGCCAGUGCUCGCUGGUGCCUCCAGCCUGGGCCAGGCCUGUGGGCUGGUCCCUUCAAUGAUGGGGCAAGCUCAGCCCCGUCCACACCCUUCUCCUCCUCCUCUGUGCUUCCCUCCACCCCCAGGAGUGGGCUCCAGGUCUGUCACUCGUCACUCAUGGGGGGCUGUGGGUUGACUCGUAUUCCCCCAAAAGACUCGCUGUAUACCCCCAGAGCUUGUGAGCAGGACCUGUUUUGGAGAUGGGUCUUUGCAGAUGUCGUCGAGUUAAGACAAGGCCAUGCUGGAGUGGGGCCUGCCCUAAUCCAACGACUGGGGCCCUUGGCAGGAGAGGGAGGUUUGGGGAGAAGGCGCUGGGAAGACAGGCAGAGGCUGGAGACAGUGCAGCCCCAAGCUGGGAGCACAGGGGUUGCCGGCACCCAACAGAAGCUGGAGGAGGUGGGAAGGAUCCUCCCUAGAGCCUUGGGAGGGGGCCCGGUCCUGUGACACCCAGAUUUUGGAUUUCUGGCCUUCGGAACUGAGAGAGCACACAUUUCUGCGGUUUGAAGCCACCAAAUUUUUGGUAAUUUGUUCUGGCCAGGAAAUUAAUACCAGGGAUAAAGGUGUUUUAAUGCAGACAAAGACAGUUUUUGAAUUAACCAAGCUUUGCGCAAGGCUGCCGGGAUUGACUGGGGGAAGUGAGGGACUCAGCAGCUUCCCCGACGCUCGCCAGGCACCGGCCUCCAUACACGCUUGCUGGCGGUGGCUACGGCAGGUCGCUCUUCAGGUGAAACCACAUAAUGAGCAGCCUUAAGCCUGUCGAUUUACACAGCAGAGGCUGCCUGGCCUGGCGCUCUUCCUGGCUGGAGGACUCUGCCUUCCCCCUCUGCCUGCCUGUGGCCACUCCGGCUGCAGAGGAGACUGGCAGACGACGUUCUCAUCCCUGGUCGGGGCAAAAGUUCUGCUCAAAUAUGACAACGGUGAAACUCGGAAUAGCGACAGAGCCAACCCAUGAUUGAGGCAGGGCUGGAGGCUUUCUGGAAAACGCACGGAGAAACACGAGGGCCCAGCUGUGCCCUGGGCCGCCCCAUGAGUCCAGCCUUCUUCGUCCUAGUCCCUUCUCCAAAGAAAGGACAAAACCACUGAAAGGGUUCGUCUGGGUCACAAACGUCCCAAAUUGGCUUCCGCGUGGAAACUAAACAAGGGUAGGUCCCAGCCCCUGGGAUUCAGGUGAAACCCGAGGCCUGUCUGAGGUCACAGCGUCUUCCCGAGGACGUCAGCCCUGUUGGCUGUGUCUGGGGCCAGGCUGAGGCAUAGCGGGCCAGGAGGCCGAGCUUCCCAAAGGAGCUGCACUGUCUUUUCCUUAGAAUAUGAAAUCAAUGUCUGCCACCUUGAAUCCUCAUGGACAAGACUCCUUGGAAGCCAGCCUGUGUCAGGGCCAGCGUCCCCCAGGGCUGACACCUACACCCUCGCAUUCUCAGCGUGACUCGGGACAGUGGCAGAACCCGCUGGGUUCUCUCUACGGGAGUGCUUUUUUUUUUUCUUUUCUUUUUUUUUUUUUUUUUUUUUUUUGAGUCGGAGUUUCACUCUUGUUGCCCAGGCUGGAGUACAAUGGUGUGAUCUCGGCUCACUGCAACCUCCACCUCCUGGGUUCAAGCAGUUCUCCUGUCUCAGCCUCCCGAGUAGCUGGGAUUACAGGUGCACACCACCAUGCCUGGCUAAUUUUUGUAUUUUUAGUAGAGAUGAGGUUUCACGGUGUUGGCCAAGCUGGUCUCGAACUCCUGACCUCAAGUGAUCCACCUGCCUUGGCCUCCCGAAGUGCUGGGAUUUCUGGCGUGAGCCACCGCACCCAGCUCGGAGUGCGUUAUGACUAGAGGCAAAGACAGCAGCAUGAUCUUCAGCUUGCAAAUGAGACACAGAAUGACAAUGAAUCUUCACCGAAGUUAACUUGAACCUGGAUGGAUGAGUGGCCGGGUCGCCAAAAAGCUCCUCGGACCCUGCCAGAGUGUGAGCUCUGCCAGGAGGGCCGGGGCUCCAGGAUCCCAGGCUGGGCAGUCACUGGCUCCCCCAGGAAGGGCCACAUUCCGGUGGGCAGACAGAGGGUUGGGGAGGGUGGUGGGCAGCCAGCCGCCUGGAUCCCGGCCGGGGCACCGUCCCGCAGAGCUUGUCCCGCACAGACUCAGUUUCCUAACCCAGCAAGUGGGAGUCCACUGUGAGAAGUCCAGCCCUACGCAGAUGCGUGCGAAUCCCCUAAGAGCCAUGCCUGAGCCCUUGGCGGAAGCAGUUGGCUCCUCGUGUCAUGCAAAGGGCGGCAUUUUCAUUCCUAACAGGGAGGUGGCCCCGGAGCAUCCAGUUCAAAGGAGCUAGGAUGAUCCAGGGUCCUCUCACGUGGGCCUUGGUGAGUGGCCACACCCUCUGAGACCCCCUUUCAUCCCCAUAGAAAGGUCCUAGCAGGGCUGUGCCAGGGGGAUCCGCGGGUGGCAGGGUGGCCCCAUCUGCAGUGGGCCCAGGAGGAUAGCAACAGGACUUAGCAGUGGUGGGAUUGUAUUUCUGGGCCCUUCUUCCCCCACAGCCCACAGCCUCCUGACGGGACCCCUCCCCCCAGAACCUGAAGGACGGACCUCAGGUGUGGAGCUCCCUCACCAGACAGAGGGGAGGAGCCCAGGUCCAUCUCCUCAAAGGGACCCACCAGCCCCUCACGCGGCUGCACACAAGGCAGUCCCAGCCAGGCCCCAGGUUGAGGCAGACUCAGCCUAUGUCCUCAAGAGGCUCCCUGGAGAAGGCAGGACCCAGAAGCUUCUCUCUCGGCUGACAUGGCCUUUGCGGGCAGCCUUCCCACCCACAUCCCCAGCAUGAGCCCCAGCUCCUUGGAGCCCAGAGUCCAAGAAAUGGCCUUUCUGCCACUGACCCCUCCCGUGGAAUGGCUCCUCCCGAGCAGGGAACCUCUGCUGGGACCCGUCAGCUGCAAGAAGGCCCGUCCCCGAGAGAGCCCUGCAGGGCAAGGGGAGAGGGACCCCGGGGUAGGGGUGGAGAGCAGCUGAGGGGACAGACACAGAGAAGACCAGGCAGGGGCAUAGCCUGCUGAUGGGGGAUGCCAUCCUCUCGGUCACAGCUGAGCCAGGGCAGCCUCUAAGCUUCCUAAGUGGGGAAACCAAGGCAGAGAACCCCAGGACUGGGGCCACCGCUGUGGUCAGCCGGUUGGGGGUGGCCUGGGCCUCUCCAGUCUCCACUCUUCCAUCCAGCUUCAUGGGGAGCAACAUUUUUUUCACCUCAAGGCCAAAUUAGGAAGAACAAACAUGUUUUAUUUAUCAGUGUCACUUUUUUUUUUUUUUGUUUUAGAGACAGGGGUCUCACUAUGUUGCCCAGGUUGGACUUGAAUUCCUGGGCUCAAACAAUCCUCCUGCCUCAGCCUCCCAAGUUACUAGGACUACAGGUGCACCACUUAGUUACAUUUUUUUUAUACACGUGAAAACAGCUUUUUUGCUGGGCGCAGUGGCUCACGCCUGUAAUCCUAGCCCUUGGGGAGGCCGAGGCAGGUGGAUCACCUGAGGUCAGGAGUUCGAGACCAGCCUGGCCAACAUGGUGAAACCCCGUCUCUACUAAAAAUACAAAAAUUAGCUGGGUGUGAUGAUGGGAGCCUGUAGUCCCAUCUACUCAGGAGGCUGAGGCAGGAGAGUGGCAUGAACCAGGGAGGCGGAGGUGGCAGUGAGCCGAGAUCGCGCCAUUGCACUCCAGCCUGGGUGACAGAGUGAAACUCCAUCUCAAAAAAAAAAAAAAAAAAGAAAAGAAAAAGAAAGUAGUUUUUUUUCCCCCUAUGCUAAAAAUUCAAACAAAGCAAACAAGCAAAUUUUUAGAGAAGAAAAUUCCAUUGGCCACAAUCUGUAGCAGGGAGAGCUGUUUUUUUUGUUUUGUUUUUGUUUUUUUUUUGAGGCAGAGUCUUGCUCUGUCACCCAGACUGGAAUGCAGUGGUGCAAUCUCGGCUCACUGUAACCUCUGCCUCCCGGGUUCACGCCAUUCUCCUGCUUCAGUCUCCAAAGUAGCUGGGACUACAGGUGCCCGCCACCACGCCCAGCUAAUUUUUUGUAUUUUUAGUAGAGACGGGAUUUCACCGUAUUAGCCAGGAUGGUCUCAAUCUCCUGACCUCAUGAUCCACCUGCCUUGGCCUCCCAAAGUGCUGGGAUUACGGGCGUGAGUCACUGCACCCAGCCUGAGGGCUGUGUUUUAAAUGAAACAUGCACCUCUUUGCUCCUUGAUAUGGUUUGGCUCUGUGUACCCCCACCCCCAAUCAAGUUGUAAUCCCCACAUGAAGGAGGGACCUGGUGGAAGGUGAUUUAAUCAUGGAAUGGACUUUCCCCUUCGCUGUCUCCCUCUCCUGCUCUGGCCGUGUGAAGACAGAACCCACUUCCCCUUUGCCUUUCGCCAUGAUUUCCUGAGGCCUCCUCAGCCAUCCCUCCUGCACAGCCUGUGGGACUGUGAGCUGAUUAAACCUCUUUUCUUCAUAAAUUACCUAAUUCUCAGGUAGUUCUUUAUAGCCGUGUGAGAAGAGACUAACACAGAAAAUGGUACUGGGAGAGAGGCACUGCUCUAAAGAUGCCUGAGAAUGUGGAAGCAGCAUGGGAACUGGGUCGUGGACAGAGGCUGGGACAGUUCGAAGGGCUCAGAAGAAGACAGGAAGGUGAGGGAAAGUUUGGAACUUCCUAGAGAUUUGUUGAAUGGUUGUAACCAAAAUGCUGAUAGCGAUACGGACAGUGAAGUCCAGGCUGAGGUGAUCUCAGAUGGAGAUGAGGAACUUAUUGGGAAAGGGAGGAAAGGUCACUCUUGCUAUGCUCCAGCAAGGAGACAGGCAGCACUGUGCCCCUGCUCUAGGGAUCUGUGGAACUUUGAACUUGAGAGAGAUGAUUUAGGGUAUCUGAUGGAAGAAAUGUCUAGGCAGCAAAGCAUUCGAGAUGUGGUCUGGCUGCUUCUAAAAGCUUAUGUUUAUUUGCAUAAAGAAGGAAACGACCCAAAAUCGGAACUUAUGUUUAAAAGUGAAGCAGAACAUAAAAGUUUGAAAAUUUUGCAGCCUGACUAUGCAAUUGAAAAGUAAAACCCAUUUUCUAGGGAGGAAUUCAAGCCUGCAGAAAUUUGCAUAAGCAAAAAAGAGCCAAAUGUUAAUCACCAAGACAAUGGGGAAAAUGUCUCCAGGGCAUUUCAGAGACCUUCACAGCAGCCCCUCCCAUCACAGGCCUGGAGGCCUGGGAGGGAAAAAUGGUUUCAUGGGUCAGGCCCAGGGCCCUGCUGCUUUGUGCAGCCUUGGGACAUGGCACCCUGCAUCCCAGCCACUCUAGCUCCAGCCAUGGCUGAAAGGUAUACCUCAGACCAUUGCUUCAGAGGGUGCAAGCCCCAAGCCUUGGCAGUUUCCAUGUGCUGUUGGGCUCACAGAUGUGCAGAAAGCAAGCGUUACGGUUUUGGAGCCUCCACCUAGGUUUCAGAGGAUGUAUGGAAAUGCCUGGAUGUCCAGACAGAAGUCUGCUGCAGGGGGUGAGCCCUCAUGGAGAACCUCUACUAGAACAGUUCGGAGGGAAAAUAUGGGGUUGGAGCCCCCACACAGAGUCCCCGCUGGGGCACUGCCUAGUGGAGCAGUGAGGAGAGGGCCACUGUCCUCCAGACCCCAGAAUGGUAGAUCCACUGACAGCUUGCACUGUGUGCCUGGAAAAGCCACAGGUACUCAAUGCCAGCUUGUGAAAGCAGCCACAGGGGGCUGUAUCCUGCAGAGCCAGAGGGGUGGAGCUGCCCAAGGCCUUGGGAUCCCACCCCUUGAGUCAGUGUGGCCUGGAUGUGAGACAUGGAGUCAAAGGAUAUUGUUUUGGAGCUUUAAGAUUUAAUGACUGCUUCAGAUCACUUGAAGUCAGGAGUUUGAGAUCAGCCUGGCCAAUGUGGUGAAACCCCAUUUCUACUAAAAAUACAAAAAUUAGCUGGGCGUGGUGGCAGGUGCCUGUAAUCCCAGCUACUCGGGAGGCUGAGGCAAGAGAAUUGCUUGAACCCAGGAGGCGGAGGUUGCAGUGAGCCGAGGUCGUGCCAUUGCACUCCAGCCUGGGGGACAAGAGCAAGACUUCAUCUCAAAAAAAAAACAAAAAACCGUUUAAUGACUACCCUACUGGGUUCAGGACAUGCAUGGGGCCUGUAGGCCCUUUGUUUUGGCCAAUUUCUCCCUUUUGAAAUGGGAGCAUUUACCCAGUGCCUGUACCCACAUUGUAUC